rnacentral:rRNA from 1 species
UACGGGAGGCAGCAGUGGGGAAUAUUGCACAAUGGGCGCAAGCCUGAUGCAGCCAUGCCGCGUGUAUGAAGAAGGCCUUCGGGUUGUAAAGUACUUUCAGUCGUGAGGAAGGUGUUAAGGUUAAUAACCUUAGCAAUUGACGUUAGCGACAGAAGAAGCACCGGCUAACUCCGUGCCAGCAGCCGCGGUAAUACGGAGGGUGCGAGCGUUAAUCGGAAUUACUGGGCGUAAAGGGCACGCAGGCGGUUAAUUAAGUUGGAUGUGAAAUCCCCGGGCUUAACCUGGGAAUGGCAUUCAAGACUGGUUAGCUAGAGUCUUGUAGAGGGGGUAGAAUUCCGAUGUGUAGCGGUGAAAUGCGUAGAGAUGUGGAGGAAUACCGGGUGGCGAAGGCGGCCCCUGGGACAAAGGCUGACGCUCAUGUGCGAAAGCGUGGGGAGCGAAACAGGGAUUAGAUACC